rnacentral:tRNA from 1 species
GGUCCGGUAGUUCAGUUGGUUAGAAUGCCUGCCUGUCACGCAGGAGGUCGCGGGCUCGAGUCCCGCCCGGACCGCCA